CUUGCUUCAAGAGAAUGUGCAAUUGAGCAAGGUAAUAAAAACAAAGAAUGAAUCACUAGCAUGUUACCUGGUUCAUGACAGAAUGCCUACGUCAGAACAGUUGAGAGAGUCCAUGGAAGAGAAUGAGUUGAAUAAAUAAUAUCAAGCUAAACUUGAGCUACUUCAGAUGGAUUUUGAGGACAGAGAAGUGUCUGUAGAAAACUACAGCACACAGAUGGACAAUCUGAAGUCUACAAUUCAACUGAAGAAGCAAAAUGGAUUUGCUCACAGUAAAAUGAAGACGUGGAUGAAAUCCUGUGCAGAUGAAGUUGCCAUCCACCUACAUUCACUGAUCCAUGAGGAUGAGCCAGAGUAUGAGCCAGGCGGACUCCCAGAGGUGGUCAAAAAAGGGUUUCCUGCUAUUCCUAUUGUGAAAACCGACCCUUACAUUUUGUGCAGAACAACUUUUCACCUAAGGACCAGUCCCCGUCUUGCUGCCCAAAGCCAAAAAUUGUCACCAGGUUCCCAACUUUUACGAAAAGGCAGGUCAGAUAAUCUAGGGGUGAUCUGAAAACCGACAGCUGGUGGCAGCAAAUCACAAAAGGUAACU
rnacentral:lncRNA from 1 species